AAUAUUCUUUUAUUUUUCAAAUGUCGCUUGGCAAUCAUUAUUCCACCUGACCGUUCGAUCUUUUUUUCCACAACAGCUUGAGUGGGUUCCCAUGUGGCUGUUAGAUGAGAUGUGAACCGUGAAAUGCAGUUCAAUCUACCUAAGAAACCACGAACCUCUUUUUCUGUUCUCGGUUCAGGCACUUCUCCUAUUGCUCUUUCUUUUUU
rnacentral:lncRNA from 1 species